rnacentral:rRNA from 1 species
GGGGGAGGGGGGGGGGGGGGGUGGGGGGGGGGGGGGGGGGGGGGGGGGGGAGCUGGGGCGGGGCUGCAGCGGCGGAGGGGGGGGGGAGGCCUGGGAAUCGGCCGGUGAGCGGGGGAGAGGGUCCGGACGCGGGGGCUACUGCCGCAUACGUCCUGGGGGAGACGGGGGGUGGUCGGCGGACCUCGCGCUAUCGGAUGCGCCUAGGGCGGAUUGUCUAGUUUGUGGGGUAAAGGCCUACCCAGGCGACACUCCGUAACUCGUCUGAGAGGAUGAUCAGUCACACUGGAACUGAGACACGGUACAGACUCCUAGGGGAGGCAGCAGUGGGGAAUAUUGGACAAUGGGCGAAAGCCUGAUCCAGCCAUGCCGCGUGUGUGAAGAAGGUCUUCGGAUUGUAAAGCACUUUAAGUUGGGAGGAAGGGCAGUAAGUUAAUACCUUGCUGUUGUGACGUUACCAACAGAAUAAGCACCGGCUAACUUCGUG